GGUCAAUGAGGUCAUGGAAGGGUCAACGGGGUCAUGGAAGGGUCAAUGGGGUCAUGGAAGGGUCAAUGGGGUCAUGGAAGGGUCAAUGAGGUCAAUGAGGUCAUGGAAGGGUCAAUGGGGUCAUGGAAGGGUCAAUGAGGUCAUGGAAGGGUCAAUGAGGUCAUGAAUGAUCCAAUUUGGUCAUCGAAACGUCAACGAAUCAUUCGACAAAUCUCAAAAAAAUCCCCAAAAAAUCACCUAAAAAAACCCAAAAA